GACGAACGCUGGCGGCGUGCUUAACACAUGCAAGUCGAACGGAAAGGCCCUGCUUUUGUGGGGUGCUCGAGUGGCGAACGGGUGAGUAACACGUGAGUAACCUGCCCUUGACUUUGGGAUAACUUCAGGAAACUGGGGCUAAUACCGGAUAGGAGCUCCUGCUGCAUGGUGGGGGUUGGAAAGUUUCGGCGGUUGGGGAUGGACUCGCGGCUUAUCAGCUUGUUGGUGGGGUAGUGGCUUACCAAGGCUUUGACGGGUAGCCGGCCUGAGAGGGUGACCGGCCACAUUGGGACUGAGAUACGGACCAGACUCCUACGGGAGGCAGCAGUGGGGAAUAUUGCACAAUGGGCGGAAGCCUGAUGCAGCAACGCCGCGUGCGGGAUGACGGCCUUCGGGCUGUAAACCGCUUUCGCAUGUGACGAAGCGUGAGUGACGGUAAUGGGUAAAGAAGCACCGGCUAACUACGUG
rnacentral:rRNA from 1 species